rnacentral:rRNA from 1 species
CCUACGGGCGGCUGCAGUCGAGGAUCUUCGGCAAUGGGCGCAAGCCUGACCGAGCGACGCCGCGUGUGCGAUGAAGGCCUUCGGGUUGUAAAGCACUGUCGAGAGGGAGAAAAGCGCAAGCUUGAUCUAUCUCUGGAGGAAGCACGGGCUAAGUUCGUGCCAGCAGCCGCGGUAAGACGAACCGUGCGAACGUUGUUCGGAAUCACUGGGCUUAAAGGGCGCGUAGGCGGGUCUUCAAGUUGGGGGUGAAAGCCGCCGGCUCAACCGGAGAACUGCCGCGAAUACUGACGAUCUCGAGGGGGAUAGGGGCAUGCGGAACUACGGGUGGAGCGGUGAAAUGCGUUGAUAUCCGUAGGAACUCCGGUGGCGAAGGCGGCGUGCUGGAUCCCUUCUGACGCUGAGGCGCGAAAGCCAGGGGAGCAAACGGGAUUAGAUACCCUAGUAGUC